CCUACGGGAGGCAGCAGUGAGGAAUAUUGGUCAAUGGACGAGAGUCUGAACCAGCCAAGUAGCGUGAAGGAAGAAUGCUCUAUGGGUUGUAAACUUCUUUUAUAAGGGAAUAAAAGGAUCCACGUGUGGCUAUUUGCAUGUACCCUAUGAAUAAGCAUCGGCUAACUCCGUGCCAGCAGCCGCGGUAAUACGGAGGAUGCGAGCGUUAUCCGGAUUUAUUGGGUUUAAAGGGUGCGUAGGUUGUUUUUUAAGUCAGCUGUGAAAGUUUGUGGCUCAACCGUAAAAUUGCCGUUGAAACUGGAAGACGUGAGUGUGUUUGAGGUAGGCGGAAUGCGUGGGGUAGCGGUGAAAUGCAUAGAUAUCACGCAGAACUCCGAUUGCGAAGGCAGCUUACUAAGCUAUAACUGACACUGAAGCACGAAAGUGUGGGGAUCAAACAGGAUUAGAUACCCGUGUAGUC
rnacentral:rRNA from 1 species